UUAGAUCGCUUUGGUAACAGCUGAUGGGAGGCAGGAGGUGGGAAAAGAAGGAGUUCCCCAAAAAGGAGAAGAGAGCUGUUCCCAUAAAAAGAGAAGAGUGGAAUGAAAUCCCAGCUAGAAUCAAACCUGCAGGACCAGAGGCAUGAAACCUGAGAGGUGAGGAAACUGAGGCGCAGAGUAUCUAAGGAAUUCACAGAGAAGAACUGAACAGAACAGGCAGAUGUUCAUACAGCACAGCCUGCUCAGCAUUCACAGUCUGAGAACAUUCCACUCUGCGAUUCUCUAAAUCCUUUUCCCAUCUCUCUCUUUUUCUUCGUGGAUUUUUAUCCUUUUACUGUGUACUUUCCCAUAUAACGUCCAGCACGGCAAUCUUUUUGCCUGUUUCUUUGUCCUUCUCCCCCAAUUGGCAGAGGAAUAAUCUCUAUCUGGCUGAGACGUCAAGCGCUGAAAAAUAUUGGCAUUCCUUAAAGAAGCAAUUUGUUUUCUUUUCUCAAAUGUAUCACGUGCGGUUAAGUGGCACUGACUUGUGCCCCAGCUGACCAAAUUUCACAGAGAUGGCCUGUCUGAGGCUAGAGGAUCUUUUGAGGAAUGGGUAUCUUCUCUAUGGAAAUAUCCCAAUUACCAUUUCUUGCGGGAAACACAGCAUCACCCCAGAGAUCUGUGGCCAUCAGGAAAAGUAACCAAGCUGAAGGGACAUCCAUCUCCAUUUCCAGUGGGGACACCACCAUCUUCUCUAACUUGUUCAUCUUGAGUGAUAGAAAACUUUAACUAAAUAAAUGAAAAAGGAUGGCAGAAAAUAAUCCACAGUGACUUAUGUAUCUUUCUCCAUCCAUAAAUAACUUUAUAUUUCACUUCUGGCAGCAGAGCUGAGCCAGAAGGUAAUGAGCCAUUGUGGAAAACCCAUCUGUUGCUCAUAAGGGGAAAGACCGGAUUUAUUGAGGAAGAAUCUGGAGCGAAGAAGAAAUAAAACUUAUAAGAAAAGAAAGGCUAUCAAAGUCAAGGAAGUCAGCAUGAGAUGACGGGUGGCAAUAAAGCAGAACAAAGACAGCCCCUGCUCUCAGAAUCAGGCAGAAGCAAUGUGGCGGCCGUGCAAGCAAAGGCAAGAGUAGGGCUCCAAAGGCACCAAGGGAGCACUCUUGCAUUUCCAUCUUCCACUAGGUUUCCAGAAAUAUCACCAAAUAAAAU
ensembl:lncRNA